AUGCUUGCUUCGGCAGCAUGUAUACUAAAAUUGGAAUGAUACAGAGAAGAUUAACAUGGCUCCUGCACAAGGAUGACAUGCAAAUUCGUAAAGCGUUUCACAAUUAA